ACUCCUACGGGAGGCAGCAGUAGGGAAUUUUCCGCAAUGGACGAAAGUCUGACGGAGCAAUGCCGCGUGAGUGAUGAAGGUUUUCGAAUCGUAAAGCUCUGUUGUAAGGGAAGAAUAGCAAGAAUAGGAAAUGAUUCUUGUCUGACGGUACCUUACCAGAAAGCCACGGCUAACUACGUGCCAGCAGCCGCGGUAAUACGUAGGUGGCAAGCGUUAUCCGGAAUUAUUGGGCGUAAAGCGCAUGUAGGCGGCUUUUUAAGUCUGAUGUGAAAGCCAGUGGCUCAACCACUGAAUUGCAUUGGAUACUGGAAAGCUAGAAUCUUGGAGAGGUAAGUGGAAUUUCAUGUGUAGCGGUGGAAUGCGUAGAUAUAUGAAGGAACACCAAUGGCGAAGGCAGCUUACUGGACAAGUAUUACGCUGAGAUGCGAAAGUGUGGGUAGCAAACAGGAUUAGAUACCCU
rnacentral:rRNA from 1 species